rnacentral:rRNA from 1 species
AGGAAGGCUUACGGUGGAGACCUAGGCACUCAGAGACGAUGAAGGGCGCAGAUACCGGCGAUACGCUUCGGGGAGCUGGUAACAAGCAUGGAUCCGAAGAUUCCCGAAUAGGGCAACCUCUUUUAGAACUCCUUUUUGAAUUCAUAGAAAAGGAAGAGGCAACCCGGUGAACUGAAACAUCUCAGUAGCCGGAGGAAAAGAAAGCAAAAGCGAUUCCCGGAGUAGCGGCGAGCGAAAUGGGAAUAGCCUAAACCACCUUUAGGCAACUACAAGUGGGGUAGUGGGAAGCUGUAACAACAUUUGUACAAAGUACCUGUUGGUCGCGAUCCCUGCGAAGCAGAGAUCGCAACCCUGCGUAGCUUUGCCUGUUGGUUUUUACCUGUUGGCUGUUGCUUACGCCUGCAUAUGCUUCGCAUAUGCUGACGAGAGCAACAGCUACAAAGUAAAAACCAACAGGCAAGAGCAAACAAAAAGAAGGUAGAAAAAGACGAAGCAGCUGAAUCCUGCACCAUAGAUGGUGAAAGUCCAGUAGUCAACCAUUUCCUUUUGUUUUAGUUACAAAUUUAUAGCUCUUGCUUUGAAGGUAAAAACUCCAAAGUAAAAACUAUAAAGAAGAAAAUCCCGAGUAGCAUGGGGCACGUGGAAUCCCGUGUGAAUCUGCGAGGACCACCUCGUAAGGCUAAAUACUCCUGAGUGACCGAUAGUGAAGAAGUACAGCGAUGGAACGGUGAAACAGAACCCCCGUAGGGGAGUGAAAAAGAACAUGAAACCGUAAGCUGACAAGCAGUGGGAGGAUACAAAUAUCUGACCGCGUGCCUGUUGAAGAAUGAGCCGGCGACUUAUAGGAAGUGGCAGGGUUAAGGAAGAACCUCCGGAGCCCAAGCGAAAGCGAGUCUGAACAGGGCGAUUUUAGUCACUUCUUAUGGACCCGAACCUGGAUGAUCUAAUCAUGGCCAAGCUGAAGCUUGGGUAACACUAUGUGGAGGGCUGAACCCACCGAUGUUGAAAAAUCGGGGGAUGAGCUGUGAUUAGCGGUGAAAUUCCAAUCGAAUUCAGAGCUAGCUGGAUCUCCCCGAAAUGCGUUGAGGCGCAGCGGCAACGAUGUCCUGUCUAAGGGUAGAGCGACUGUUUCGGUGCGGGCUGCGAGAGCGGUACCAAGUCGUGGCAAACUCCGAAUAUUAGGCAAAGGAUUCCGUAAGCCAGUGAGACAGUGGGGGAUAAGCUUCAUUGUCAAGAGGGAAACAGCCCAGACCAUCAGCUAAGGCCCCUAAAUGGCUGCUAAGUGGAAAAGGAUGUGAGAAUGCUGAAACAACCAGGAGGUUCGCUUAGAAGCAGCUAUUCCUUGAAAGAGUGCGUAAUAGCUCACUGGUAAAGCGUUCUUGCGCCGACAAUGGCCGGGACUAAGCAGCCUGCCGAAGCUAUGGGAUUUGUUUUUUUUGAAUUGUACAAAGUACAAAAACAAAUCGGUAGGGGAGCGUACAGCAUGGGGUGAAGCUUCGACGUGAGUCUUGGUGGACGGUGCUGUAGCGAGAAUGUCGGCUUGAGUAACGAAAACAUUGGUGAGAAUCCAAUGCCCCGUAAACCUAAGGGUUCCUCUACAAGGUUCGUCCGUGGGGGGUGAGUCAGGACCUAAGGCGAGGCCGAAAGGCGUAGUCGAUGGCAAACAGGUUAAUAUUCCUGUACUUAUUUUUGUAGGGAACCGGGGGACGAAGAAAGCUAAGUUGGGUCUAUUUGUGGAUUGUAGUGGAAGCGUUCAAGGCGGCGAAAGGUCGAAGAAAAACGAAUCUUGAGUUGAGGCGCGAUCCCGCUUUCUAGACUUGUUCUUUAAAGCGCCAACGAUGUUAUGCUUCCAAGAAAAGCUCGUACACCUCUCAUUAUAUUUAUAAUGAGAAAAACACAAAAAUAACCUGUACCAUAAACCGACACAGGUAGGUUGGUAGAGAAUACUGAGGGGCGCGAGAGAACUCUCUCUAAGGAACUCGGCAAACUAGCCCCGUAACUUCGGAAGAAGGGGCGCCCUUUUUAACGGAAGGGUCGCAGCGAGUCGGUUCUGGCAACUGUUUAUCAAAAACACAGGUCUCCGCAAAGUCGCAAGACAAUAUAUGGGGGCUGACGCCUGCCCAGUGCCGGAAGGUCAAGGAAGUUGGUUAGUGGUUCUCACCUCGAAGCUGACGACCGAAGCCCCGGUGAACGGCGGCUGUAACUAUGACAGUCAAUCUUAGGGCUGUCGUAAAAUAAAACUAUAUGCUGGGACGUCCACUCUCCCAAUAGGCUAUUGCUUUGGAGUUUUUACCUUCAAAGGGGCUGUUGCUUACGCGAAGCGAGAGCAACAGCUACGAAGUAAAAACCAAUAGGCAAUAGCUACAAAGGAAAGUGAUUAUUGGAACCGAGUAGGUGAAAUGCCAAUACGAAAGACCAAUCAGCAGGAAACAAACAAAAACUUGUUUGGCUCCCCAGAGACUAUACGUUUUACACGUUGAUUGUACUAAACAAAAGAUAGCAUAGCUAGCAAUCAACAAAAGAUAUAGUCCUCAGUUCAUUAUUUGUACUAUAAAUAGCUAUUGCCUGUCGGUUUUUACUUUGUAGUAAAAACUACAAAGCAACAGCCAGCAGGUACAAACAACAGAAUGAACCGUAAUGCUACUUGCCUAAGGUAGCGAAAUUCAUUGUCGAGUAAGUUUCGACCUGCACGAAAGGCGUAAUGAUCAGAACGCUGUCUCGGAGAGAGGCUCGGUGAAAUAGACUUGUCCGUGAAGAUGCGGACUACUAAUACUUGGACAGAAAGACCCUAUGAAGCUUGACUGUAUCUUGGAAUUGGGUUCGGGCUUUUCUUGCGCAGCCUAGGUGGGAGGCAUUGAAGAUUUCCUUCCGGGGAAGUUGGAGCCAUCAUUGAGAGACCACUCUGGAGAGGCUAGAAUCCUAAUGGUGAUCCUUGGAUCAGGACACUUGACAGUUUCAGGUGGGCAGUUUUCCUGGGGCGGGAGCCUCAUAAAAGGUAACUGAGGCGCGCAAAGGUCCCCUCAGUCUGGACGGAAAUCAGACAACGAGUGUAAAGGCAAAAGGGGGCUUGACUGCAAGACCUACAAGUCGAGCAGGAGCGAAAG